CUAGAGCUGCAGGCCCAAGAGGUGCUCAGCAUUCCUUCUCCAGCUGGGGAGUUUUAUCUGCACACACUCCAACCUUGCAGACCACGGGUUAUUGGGAGUUCCUCAGCGCUGGCUAGGGUGUCUCCUAGGAGCACAGCUUCAGAUGCCAGCCUUGAGUUAAAACUUAUGACAUUCCGAAAUGGCAGUAAGCAGGUUCUGCCUUGACUUUAGAAGAGAGCCUUCUUACUUUGGCUACUUGAUGUUGUCCAUGUUUUUCUAGGAUGGGUGACCUGGAGUAAGACAGGCAAUGACAACGGCCUUCUCCAGCAGCUGGCCACUGGAGUGCUGGCUGGAGGCCCAGAGCAGGGUGCAGCUGCACAGAGCAGGCUCCCAGGGCUGCCAGCUGCACUGAGGCAAGAGGCGCCUUUCUUCCGGGGACUGACCUCAGAAGACAAGUCCAGGUACUUACUAUAUGCCAGCUGGAGCCUCACCACAAGCAAGACCAGGUAAGUAUGCACUCACAGGAAAGGAAAAAGCCUGGCCAAGCCACUGGGCCAGGAGGUGGCAGAGUGGAGGGGUGAGGCCAGCCCCCAGCUAAGAAGCCAUUUGCCGGAGCAGGAUCUCUAAGUCUUCUAGUGGCUCUCCAGGCUCUUCAGAGGAAGUGGCAGGCUACAUUUCCUGUACACUUUAAACACACAUAGACCAACACGUCCAGAAUCUGGCUGAAGCCAGUCUGAAGCUGAAAAUGUUCCCAUCCAAAGGACAGGCUCCUACAGACGGCACAACAUGGGCGAUGCUGCCACCCUCUGGCUAGGAAAGCAACCAAGGAGCUGACCUACUGCAGUUCCGGGUUCUUCUCUGUAGAGUGUCCUGCCACCCUCGGUCACGGGAGGAACUGCCAUGACAUCAAGAGUGCAUUUCAAACUACGGCGGACAUCAAAAUCCAUGCUGUUGCUGUUUGCACAGUGUUAGGGAACAAGGAUGGGCCUAGUGUGUUCUACCAUGAGUGCUCUACCAUAACUCAAUGAGUCACCUCUGGGGCCAAAUGAAGCUGGAGGUACACAUAGGAAUGGCCCACUUUCAAGGCCACAGCUUAAUCUCAGCUCUGCAAUCCAGACAAGUCUACUCAGGGCACUCUGAGCAACCCCUGCUGUGCCACAAGCUCUCACUGCGGAUGCAUGGCCAUGCACCAUGGACCCCUCCACCCCUGCCUUAGGCACCUCCUCCUCUGCUACAGCUGCUGACCACCUGUCCUAUGGUACAGUGAACAUUCUCCAAGGAAGCUGGGGAAGUGGGGUUCCUCAAUUUCUCUCUUCUUUCAGAAAUCAGUCUAACUACAGCUGUCCUGGGUUCCCACAUGUGGAAGGGCAACCGAGGAGCACUCGGGUGUGACCACAAGUCCAGUUUGAGUGCAUCUGUUUUCAAGUCCCUUUUGUUUCCUGAGUCAACUGCUUCCUUGAAAAUCAGUUCUGGUUGAGUCUGGUUCAGCAUCGUGCUUGGUUUUGGUUAUUGCUUACAAUGUGUUUAUGUAGGGAUUUCAGAUGGCAUCCUUUAUAAAUUUUAAAACAGCACAACAG